CUGGCGGAGAGAGAACGCGACAGAGCUCGUAAUAAAACAAGAAUCAACAUCAGCUUGGCUUUCGGAAGAUGGCGGGAAUUGAGGGAUUCGAAAUGUUGUAAAAGAGGCGCGGAGAUUAUGCUGUUUUUAAAGGAUACGCAGAGAUGGCCGGCAGCGCGAGAGUCCGGCAGCAGAAGACCCCGCAGACGGCCAUCAGGAGGAGCGUCUGACAGCUGCUCAGUGAACACAUGACUUCUGCUGAUCUUCAGCAUGUCGGCGGUGAACCGAGCGGCUCUGGGUUGGUGAUGGUGGUCUGUGAGUUUGUAACGACCCCCUGAGGACUUCAUUUCCUGCGGCUGAUCAGACCAGAUCUCUGGAUGACAGUCAUAGUUAAACCAGAGAUGGAAAUUCGUCACUAAUGAUUUUCUUUGAUGAGAGUUUUUCUGGAGCUAUCACAGUUAGGAUUCAUUUGUAGUUUUCUGCUUUCUGCUUGUACAUUUAUCACUAAAGGAUCCAGUGAGAAUCACAGAAACCCAUGCAUGUUCUGGUGUUUAAAGAACCUUGAAAUUAAUAUUCUAAUCUGAGGCGCCAUUAACAAAACAUCAAGAACUUUUUGAAUCAACAAAGAACCAUAUAUAAGGCCUUCAGAAUGAAGUGAAGAAAAGAACCAAAGGCACGUAAAAUGAAAGUUUUUGAGGGCUUUCAGACGGAGCUUUUGUGAUUUGUCUUGUUUAGAUUCACCGAACCUUGUGAUAAAUGAUGUCGCAAACCUCCAUAUCAGAGACAGACAGCGAGUGACUCCAUUCUGAUUUGAUUUAAAGGGCAGUUUGUGUGACAUUUGAACUUGUGCUUUGUUUUAAUGGCUGAGAUGCUUUCUCUGCAGAAUAAAUGGCAGCAGUUUGAGAUAUGACAUCUAGACAGGUUUCCCCACAAUGCAGCUUAUAUAUAUAUAAAAUUUAAUUUCCACAUUUUAUAGCUGGCCUGCAUAUUAAAUGAGUUAGAGCUCAGUAUGACGUGGUAAGUGCGAUUGCUCAUCACUGAUGAAUCAGGAC